rnacentral:lncRNA from 1 species
AGAAGUGGGAUCUGGGGGAUGUGUGGGGCAGAAUUGGGAUCUGGGGGAUGUGUGGGGCAGGAGGAGGGAUGUGUGGGGCUGGAGAUCUGUGGGGCUGGAGGAGGGAUCUGUGGGGCAGAAGUGGGAUCUGGGGGAUGUGUGGGGCAGAAGUGGGAUCUGGGGGAUGUGUGGGGCAGGAGGAGGGAUGUGUGGGGCUGGAGGAGAGAUCUGUGGGGCUGGAGGAGGGAUCUGUGGGGCAGAAGUGGGAUCUGGGGGAUGUGUGGGGCGGGAGGAGGAAUCUGUGGGGCAGGAGGAGGGAUGUGUGGGGCGGGAGGAGGGAUCUAUGGGGCAGAAGUGGGGUCUGGAGGAUCUGGGGCGGGAGGAGGGAUCUGUGGGGCAGAAAAGUGGGAUCUGGGGGAUGUGUGGGGCGGGAGGAGGGAUCUGUGGGGCAGCCCCUACCCCUGUGCCCCACAGCCGUGGGCCGGCGGAGGCGGACGAGCUGCUGAAACGUGUGGGGUUCCUGUACGACGGCACCUACCGCUGGGUCAACCCACACCCGCACUGACCCACAGCUCUGCCCCAUAGAUCCUGCCCCAUAGAUCCCGCCCCAUAGAUCCCGCCCCACAGCCUCCCCCCCAUGUUACGCUCCCAGCCCCAUAGCGAUGGGGUCUUGUGGUGGGGGGUGGUGGUGGGGUGCCCCAUAGAUCCACCCCAUGUUACACUCCCUGCCCCAUAGCGAUGGGGUCUUGUGGGGUGGGGUGGCUAUGGGGUGCCCCAUAGAUCCCGCCCCAUAGAUCCACCCCACAGAUCCCGCCCCACAGCCUCCCCCCUGUGUUACACUCCCUGCCCCAUAGCAAUGGGGUCUUGUGGUGGGGGGUGGCUAUGGGGUGCCCCAUAGAUCCACCCCAUGUUACACUCCCAGCCCCAUAGCGAUGGGGUCCUGUGCUGCUGGGGAGAGGCUGUGGGGUGCCCCAUAGAUCCUGCCCCAUAGAUUCUGCCCCACAGCCUCCCCCCUGUGUUACACUCCCUGCCCCAUAGCGAUGGGGUCUUGU